rnacentral:rRNA from 1 species
AGAGUUUGAUCCUGGCUCAGGACGAACGCUGGCGGCGUGCCUAAUACAUGCAAGUCGAGCGGUCCCUUCGGGGAUAGCGGCGGACGGGUGAGUAACACGUAGGCAACCUGCCUGCAAGCUUGGGAUAACAUUCGGAAACGGAUGCUAAUACCGGAUACACAGUUUCUUCGCAUGGAGGAGCUGGGAAAGGCGGAGCAAUC